rnacentral:rRNA from 1 species
AGAGUUUGAUCAUGGGUCAAAUUGAGCGCUGGGGGCAGGGUUAACACAUGCAAGUCGAACGAUGACUCUCUAGCUUGCUAGAGAAGAUUAGUGGCGGACGGGUGAGUAACAUUUAGGAAUCUACCUAGUAGUGGGGGAUAGCUCGGGGAAACUCGAAUUAAUACCGCAUACGACCUACGGGUGAAAGGGGGCGCAAGCUCUUGCUAUUAGAUGAGCCUAAAUCAGAUUAGCUAGUUGGUGGGGUAAAGGCCCACCAAGGCGACGAUCUGUAACUGGUCUGAGAGGAUGAUCAGUCACACCGGAACUGAGACACGGUCCGGACUCCUACGGGAGGCAGC